AGCGAACGCUGGCGGCAGGCUUAACACAUGCAAGUCGAGCGGGCACUUCGGUGUCAGCGGCAGGCGGGUGAGUAACACGUGGGAACGUACCCUUCGGUUCGGAAUAACGCUGGGAAACUAGCGCUAAUACCGGAUACGCCCUUUUGGGGAAAGGUUUACUGCCGAAGGAUCGGCCCGCGUCUGAUUAGCUAGUUGGUGGGGUAAUGGCCUACCAAGGCGACGAUCAGUAGCUGGUCUGAGAGGAUGAUCAGCCACACUGGGACUGAGACACGGCCCAGACUCCUACGGGAGGCAGCAGUGGGGAAUAUUGGACAAUGGGCGCAAGCCUGAUCCAGCCAUGCCGCGUGAGUGAUGAAGGCCUUAGGGUUGUAAAGCUCUUUUGUCCGGGACGAUAAUGACGGUACCGGAAGAAUAAGCCCCGGCUAACUUCGUG
rnacentral:rRNA from 1 species